UGCGUGCUAUCUCUAMCAUGCAGUCGAGCGGUAAGGCCUUUCGGGGUACACRAGCGGCGAACGGGUGAGUAACACGUGGGUGAUCUGCCCUGCACUCUGGGAUAAGCCUGGGAAACUGGGUCUAAUACCGGAUAUGACCUGCUCUCGCAKGGGGGUGGGUGGAAAGAUUUAUCGGUGCAGGAUGGGCCCGCGGCCUAUCAGCUUGUUGGKGGGGUAAUGGCCUACCAAGGCGACRACGGGUAGCCGACCUGAGAGGGUGACCGGCCACACUGGGACUGARACACGGCCCARACUCCUACGGGAGGCAGCAGUGGGGAAUAUUGCACAAUGGGCGAAAGCCUGAUGCAGCGACSCCGCGUGAGGGAUGAAGGCCUUCGGGUUGUAAACCUCUUUCAGCAGGGACRAAGCGCAAGUGACGGUACCUGCARAARAAGCACCGGCUAACUACGUGCCAGCAGCCGCGGUAAUACGUAGGGUGCGAGCGUUGUCCGGAAUUACUGGGCGUAAAGAGUUCGUAGGCGGUUUGUCGCGUCGUUUGUGAAAACCCGGGGCUCAACUUCGGGCUUGCAGGCRAUACGGGCAGACUUGAGUGUUUCAGGGGAGACUGGAAUUCCUGGUGUAGCGGUGAAAUGCGCAGAUAUCAGGAGGAACACCGGUGGCGAAGGCGGGUCUCUGGGAAACAACUGACGCUGAGGAACGAAAGCGUGGGUAGCAAACAGGAUUAGAUACCCUGGUAGUCCACGCCGUAAACGGUGGGCGCUAGGUGUGGGUUCCUUCCACGGAAUCUGUGCCGUAGCUAACGCAUUAAGCGCCCCGCCUGGGGAGUACGGCCGCAAGGCUAAAACUCAAGGAAUUGACGGGGGCCCGCACAAGCGGCGGAGCAUGUGGAUUAAUUCGAUGCAACGCGAAGAACCUUACCUGGGUUUGACAUACACCGGAAGCCGUAGAGAUACGGCCCCCCUUGUGGUCGGUGUACAGGUGGUGCAUGGCUGUCGUCAGCUCGUGUCGUGAGAUGUUGGUUAAGUCCCGCAACGAGCGCCAACCCUUUGUCUUUAUGUUGCCAGCGCGUUAUGGCGGGGUACCUCGUAAGAGACUGCCGGGGUCACUCGAGAUGGUGGGGACGACGUCAGUCAUCAKGCCCUUAUGUUCAGGCUCAACAUGCUACAUGCCAGUUACGAGGCCUGGCAGAAACUCGUUGAAGUUUGA
rnacentral:rRNA from 1 species